CUAUUAAGGAGGAACACGUGGGAGAUAUUUUUUUUCCGUAACCCCUUCACUCUCUUAAUUUCCAACAAGUAUGCAAAUUUGAACCCUAACCGUAUCUCAUGAAACCUCCUCCAAUGAUUCGUUCGAUUCUCUAACCCUAGAAGAUUCCAUUUCUUCACUUCCAAUUCUUCGCCAUGGCUUUUGCUCAAGAUUCUGGAGCCUCGCCGCCGUCAGACGUCGCCGAUUUGAACGACUCCAUAAGCUGCCUGAAAUUGAACCACUCUUCCGACGAACACGCCGACGAUGCUCCUCCAUCGUCCAGUGACGGUAACAUCAACAUCUCCGAUGACGUUAUCAAUCAAGUUGACCAGUUCCUUCUUGAUGCGGUUCAGAACCCCCGCGAACGCCUUUCCAUUCUGCGGAUGGAGCAGGAUGUUGUGAAGUUCAUUCAUGAUCCGAAUCAACAGCAGCUUGAAUUUCAGAAACUACCGACUUCGUAUUUGCGGUUGGCAGCGCAUCGGGUGGCUCAGCAUUACUCGUUGCAGUCAAUGGUUUUAGUGGAUGAUAGUUUACCAGAUGGUUCUGGGUCGAUUAUUAUUGUCCACAAGAGUUUUGGAUAUAAGCCUCCUCUCGUUCGUCUUGCAGACAUCCCUGUAAAGUUAGCGUCAGAAGACACUGCUCUCAAGCAGGUUGCGAUUAAACAGAGACCACAGAAGCAGUCUCUAGCUCUUAGUGAUACAGAUUCAAAUUCAGUUAAGAAUCGGAACUCUAAAAGUGUGGAAGAGAGGACAGAGGAGUAUAGUAGGGCUCGGGCUAGGAUCUUUAGUUCAAGUGAUAAUGGUAGUACUAUGGAUGGGAAGCCAGAACCAGGUUGCGAGUCAAGGAAGCAGGAUAACUCUUUACUUGGUUCUUUGGAUUUUUCUCAGGUUGAAGAUAAACCGGCUUCUGUGCCGGAUGUCAGUUCCAGUAGGGUGUUGAUUGAGUCUUCCACAACUAACAUUAAGGCUAGAAAUAGGGAAGAGAAGGAAUCAGUUGGUAGGCCCAUGCAGAAUAGCAGGGUGGCGAUAUAUCGGGACCGUGAAGUUGACCGCAAGGAUCCUGAUUAUGACAGGAGCUAUGAAAGGUAUGUGCAACGAUUUGACCCUGGAUUUGGGUUCAAUGGAGGAUCAUAUACCAUGCAGCCGAUGUAUACAGCCGUAUCAAAUUACCGCACGGACUUUCCACAUCUUGGAUCCACUCAUGAACUGCAGCUUUUUACUGAACACCACCCACAACCUCUUUUCCAGCACAUACCUGGACCAUGGGCUCCACCAUUACCUGCUGGAAUAGGAUAUGGAUAUCCAGAGGUCAUGUUACCUUUUAAUCCUAGACAAGUCGGUACAUGCUCUGCACCGGCUUUGUAUUUGCAUUCAUCUCAGUAUUCUUGUCACUGUCAUGGAAUGCCUUUUAUUCCUCAUGAACCUCUUCAUCAACCAUUUCUACAGUCUCAUCAACCACCACCUGAUGCAAAUUAUGGACUGGUCUGGCCCUGGUAAAGGGUAUGGGCUGUGCCGGCAACUGAUCAGCCUGGGACAUAUGUUGUUAACUGAUGGGCUGCUGCAGCUUAAAAGAUUUCUGUUAGCUGAUUUCAGUGCAGGCAUAUGGGCCGAGUUUGACUGGAAUGGAUUUGUACAUUUCUGUAAGACCAUCAUUGAUGCUUUCCACCAUUCUUGGUCUUCAAAGAUGCUUAUUGCAUCUUCCAUGUCCCUUGCAGACAUUUGUGAUUUCAGUUAAGAGCUUCUAGAUUACGCACAUUGCUCCUGAUGAUUAUCAGGAGUCCCUUGAGGACUUAUCCAGAGCUGAAUAAGUUUGCUCUUGAUUUGAAUGAAGCUCCUUAAAGAGCUCAAGUUCUUACUCUGUAAUAGAGCUUGGCAAGUCUGCAUUCUCACUGCUGGAAUUUUGUUGCCGAGAUUUAGGUGGAAUUUCCCAAGCUGUUGUCAUGCGAUGCUUUACACUAUUCUGAUGAAUUAUGCUAAACAUGUAUACCACGACAUAUAUGUGUAUAAAAUGUAUUCAUCUCAGCAAGUACUAUUUUUCUGCAUGGAUUUUCUUUCCAUUUAUCUAUUAGUUGGUUGAUUUAAACCAUUUAGGGUGUGUUUGGUUC